rnacentral:tRNA from 1 species
GCCCCUGUCGUCUAAUUGGUUAAGACACCAGGUUUUCAUCCUGGAGAUUUGCCGGUUCGAGCCCGGUCAGGGGUA